rnacentral:tRNA from 1 species
GGCCCCUUGGUCAAGCGGUUAAGACACCGCCCUUUCACGGCGGUAACACGGGUUCGAAUCCCGUAGGGCUCACCA